rnacentral:rRNA from 1 species
GACGAACGCUGGCGGUAUGCUUAACACAUGCAAGUCGAACGGGGUGGGGGGCAACUCCCAUUCAGUGGCGAACGGGUGAGUAAUGCAUCGGAACGUAUCCCGUAGUGGGGGACAACGCCGCGAAAGCGGCGCUAAUACCGCAUAUGCUCUACGGAGGAAAGUGGGGGACCGCAAGGCCUCACGCUAUGGGAGCGGCCGAUGUCCGAUUAGCUAGUUGGUGGGGUAAUGGCCCACCAAGGCGACGAUCGGUAGCUGGUCUGAGAGGAUGAUCAGCCACACUGGGACUGAGACACGGCCCAGACUCCUACGGGAGGCAGCAGUGGGGAAUUUUGGACAAUGGGGGCAACCCUGAUCCAGCCAUGCCGCGUGCGGGAAGAAGGCCUUCGGGUUGUAAACCGCUUUUAGUCGGGAAGAAAAGGCAUCUCCUAAUACGGGGUGUUCUUGACGGUACCGGCGGAGUAAGCACCGGCUAACUACGUGCCAGCCGCCGCGGUAAGAC